UAGGUGCUCAUUGGUGUUUAGAUUAUUGUAGGAUUUGUUAGGAUGUUAGAAUGGAAUUUAGAAGCAUGUUAGGAUGAUUUUGUUUCUGGAAUAAUGAUAGUUGAACUUCUUGGAUUAAUGGAAUUGGUUGAUUGGAUUUUUAUUUAAGUCUUCCGCUGGUUACGUUGAAUUGGUUGUGUUAGUGAGAUUGUCUGGUUUGCUUUAAAUGGGUUAAUCCG
rnacentral:lncRNA from 1 species